rnacentral:lncRNA from 1 species
CGUGAAGUCUAUAAGUAUAAACUGAAUGAGCUAUUCAUCAGCAACAUAUCAUGGUUUAUGCUGGAUUAUGGAAAGUGUGACUUUGCUAAGUCUAUACGCAUAUAUACUUGUCUGUAUAGUCUAUAUCCAUUUACUAAAACAUGUUUUGAUGCUAUGAAGUAUAGAUUUGAAUAAUUGAGAUAGUAUAAUACCUUGCAAUUGUUUGGUCGUUUGGUUGGCUGUUGUGUUGCUAUUGAAAUCAGCGGGAAGAAACUGAAAUAGAAACUGGUUGCUUUAACCUUUUGCAGGGAGGAACUAUGGAGGGAUGGAGAGAGUUAAGAAAACUUACCUAUCCGAAACUUGGCAGCUGGAAAAUCGGUUCACUCCUUUGAUUGCUGGUGAACAAAGACUGAAUAAGGGAGUUUGUUGGAUGGCUGACUUAUUGAUGGAGAGAGUUAGCUAAAUGGGAGUAUCUACUCUUCUAUGACAUGCUUGAAAGAUGGGCAGCAGGUGUAGGGUGGCUGACUGAGGAGAUGGCU